CAUGAAUAGUUGUUCCGAGCCGGUUUGUCUAAAGCAAUGCUAUGAUUAUCCGGCCGAUAGGGUUUGACGGGAAACCGUCAAGCCUCCCAGUGCGGAAAGGAACGCAGUAUGUGACCU
rnacentral:ncRNA from 2 species